rnacentral:lncRNA from 1 species
GAUGCUUUGCAGAGAGAAAAAAGAGGCAAAAUGAAACAAAAACCAAAAAGGACCAAACUAUUACAUAAUUGACAUAACCAAGUUACCAAGGAUAAAGAGGACUCUGGUGGAGGACAGUAAUUAUUUUGAAGACUGAAAUGGAAGCACAAAGAAAUGGAAUCUUUUUUUAGAAUAAAAGCACAGCAAGGCCUGACUUGAUGACCCUGGCAAUGGAUCCUCUGGCAACCCACUGAAAUCCUCCUGGAAGUGACAAGGGCUAUCUAGACCCUCUCUGCCUAGAGUAUCAUCCAAGACCAGCUGCAGCAGUGGCUGAUUUUUGAGAAACACUGAUCUAGAUUUUACCACUUCCAGAGAACAUCUCUGCUCGUUAGAAACAAUCUCGGACAUAAUGUCUUGGAAUUAUACUUCCCUGUAUUUCUACCCAGGCUCAAGUUGUGUUCAAAUAUUUGAACUACAGAAAUGCUAUCCUCUCCAAGACAUUCUUUUCUAAAACUCCCCAAAUACUCCUUAUCCCACUUGCUUUCACAGUCCUCAUAGCUGUGGUGAUUUUGUGUUUUUAACCUCUUAAAAAUUUGUCCCCAGAAAUCUACACAACUCUUAGUGAACAAGAGGCUUUGUGAAUCACGGUCUUCUCUAGUUAUGCUCCCAAUGGCGUGAAGUUUAGAAUCCUAUAUGAUGCCAGAAAACACCAAUCCCCAACAAAGAAGUGAAUCAACAAGCCAACAAAGCUGCCUCUUUGCUAACCAUCUCUGUGUGAUCCUGUGGAGACAUAUGAAACCACUGGGAGCAAAAAUGUUUUCAAGCAAAGGAAGUGCUGAAGGUGAAAUUCUGCUGUCUUAGAAGUUCUCAGCAACAAAUGCACCAUUUUGUUCCAUGCAAUGAGGACACCUACUUACAAGAUGAAUACAGAACUUUCAAUGGGAAAAGCAAGAAUUAAAAUGAUUUCAUCCAGGCCCUUUGCAUAUACUUCAUGGCAAAUAUGCUUGUAGUCAUUCCUGCUUUAGGGUUUAUGAAAUUUGGAGAAAUAUCUUUGGAAGAAAGAGUAAGUAAAUUAAGAUAAGUGAACUUGAGAAGUAUGGAUAGAAAAGCAUGUGUAGAAAUCCACAGAGUUCCUAGAAAGUAAUUUU